AGAGUUUGAUCCUGGCUCAGAUUGAACGCUGGCGGCAUGCCUUACACAUGCAAGUCGAACGGCAGCACGGGGGCAACCCUGGUGGCGAGUGGCGAACGGGUGAGUAAUGCAUCGGAACGUGUCCUGUCGUGGGGGAUAACCAGUCGAAAGACUGGCUAAUACCGCAUGAGAUCGAGAGAUGAAAGCGGGGGACCGCAAGGCCUCGCGCGAUAGGAGCGGCCGAUGCCGGAUUAGCUAGUUGGCGGGGUAAAAGCCCACCAAGGCUACGAUCCGUAGCUGGUUUGAGAGAACGACCAGCCACACUGGGACUGAGACACGGCCCAGACUCCUACGGGAGGCAGCAGUGGGGAAUUUUGGACAAUGGGCGCAAGCCUGAUCCAGCCAUGCCGCGUGUGUGAAGAAGGCCUUCGGGUUGUAAAGCACUUUCGGCCGGAACGAAAUCGCGCGGGUGAAUAUCCCGCGUGGAUGACGGUACCGGAAGAAGAAGCACCGGCUAACUACGUGCCAGCAGCCGCGGUAAUACGUAGGGUGCGAGCGUUAAUCGGAAUUACUGGGCGUAAAGGGUGCGCAGGCGGCUUCGCAUGUCAGAUGUGAAAUCCCCGAGCUUAACUUGGGAAUUGCAUUUGAAACUACGAGGCUGGAGUGCGGCAGAGGGAGGUGGAAUUCCACGUAGCGGUGAAAUGCGUAGAGAUGUGGAGGAACACCGAUGGCGAAGGCAGCCUCCUGGGCCGACACUGACGCUCAUGCACGAAAGCGUGGGGAGCAAACAGGAUUAGAUACCCUAGUAGUCC
rnacentral:rRNA from 1 species